rnacentral:lncRNA from 1 species
UUGGAAGCGAUGAUGGGGAAGAUAACGAUAGUUGGAGUGAGUGAGCGAGCCAACAUGAUGUGUUGUAAUUUAAAGUUUAUCGGUGAUGCACUGAUGCUCUGGUAUAUGUGUGAAUAGUUACACCUCUAUAUAUUCAUCUGUACUUAUUUUGUAGGGUAUAUGUUGUAUCGUUUUCAGGUUUAUUUUCUAAAAUAGCAUGACUUUAUGUUGUAAUAAGUUGGAUCAGACAGCUAGUUCCACUACAUUGUAAUUCCUAAUUCUGCAUGGUGCCUAAAAUAAUAGAUAGCACCUAGCUUCGCACUUAUUGAAUUCAUCCCUUCUGCCGUUGCAAGUUAUACAAUGACUAACAGAAUUUAAAGUUUCCGGGAUGAUUUUUUUUAUCGUAGCUCUACAGUUUGAAGUUUAAAAACUUUGAAAGUGGAUUUGCCAUCGGAGUUUCUCCGUUGAAGUUAUAUUACUGGGAUAUAGCCUAGAAUAGAUCAGUAUAGUUUGAAUGAAAUUUCGAGAACAGCCCAAAAACUGUCGUAUGCUUAUUCUCAUUUGUAGCAAGUCUAUUUGAGUUCCCUAUCUGAUAAAUUACAUUCAACAUGCAACAUAAUAAAAUGAUAGAAAUGCUCAUUGAAAAUUUUAUUUCCCGCGCAAAUGAAAAAUAGAUUUACGUAUUACUGUAAUCUGGAUGCUAGCUAGAUGAUUCAUCUGUGUUGAUGUUUAGGUGUCUGGAACAACACCCAUUGCCUCAAGGAGCUUGCUGCACUCGGAAUUUGCGCUCUUUUUGAGAAAGCCUAUGGGGUUAGCCAUGCGAACAUCAGAAGUCAUGCCACUGUUCGCUGCGAGAGAUACUCUUGCCUUAUCGUUGGAGUUCUUAACAUUGAUCUCGUUACAAUCAGAAUCAGGGCUCUUAACGAGUUUAACUUCACAAAUGUCAUCUUCAAAAUCAGGUCCGUCCACUGAAAUAUGGUAUGUUCCGCUGUCAUCAGUAGUCGCUUCGCCCUUGAAUGUUAAGACCGUAUCUUGUUCGCGAUUCCUGCACUCCAGACGGACAGUCGCACCUAUCAUACACAUGCAGCACAUUGUCAGAAAAUAAAGUGUCAAAAUGGGUUUUUGCCAGAGAAUUGUAAAUACUAUAAUACCUUUAAUAUAUGUGCAAGGCUUAGUAAAGAAGCCUGCACGGCAGACAUCACAAAAAACUUGACCUUGAACACUAAAGUGAUUCUCUUUUGCUGCACACAGAGUGACUAAGAAGAAAAGAGUGGUUACAGAUAGUAUUAGUGUUUGAUAUGGCUUGCUCAUUGUGUUUCUCUAGGUAGAUCUCCAAGCAAGACGCAAUNAGAAAUCUGUUCAGAUUUUUGGUAAGUCAUCCCUAACCAACACUUUGUUACAGUCCCUUAGCCUUAGGCGCACAAUAAUCGAACGGCCUAAUCUUGGUCCGGGAGUGCCUACAAAUGUUUCGGUCACUGCAAUUUUGGAAAAGGCAAAUGCGAUUCGCCAGGUUCCCACCACCAUCCACUUAUGCACCUAAAUAUAUACCUUACCGCCUCUUCUGACUUCUAUUUAACAUCAGAUCUAUUUUACAGGCUGUUGGAAGCGAUGAUGGGGAAGAUAACGAUAGUUGGAGUGAGUGAGCGAGCCAACAUGAUGUGUUGUAAUUUAAAGUUUAUCGGUGAUGCACUGAUGCUCUGGUAUAUGUGUGAAUAGUUACACCUCUAUAUAUUCAUCUGUACUUAUUUUGUAGGGUAUAUGUUGUAUCGUUUUCAGGUUUAUUUUCUAAAAUAGCAUGACUUUAUGUUGUAAUAAGUUGGAUCAGACAGCUAGUUCCACUACAUUGUAAUUCCUAAUUCUGCAUGGUGCCUAAAAUAAUAGAUAGCACCUAGCUUCGCACUUAUUGAAUUCAUCCCUUCUGCCGUUGCAAGUUAUACAAUGACUAACAGAAUUUAAAGUUUCCGGGAUGAUUUUUUUUAUCGUAGCUCUACAGUUUGAAGUUUAAAAACUUUGAAAGUGGAUUUGCCAUCGGAGUUUCUCCGUUGAAGUUAUAUUACUGGGAUAUAGCCUAGAAUAGAUCAGUAUAGUUUGAAUGAAAUUUCGAGAAC